CAUUAAGAUUUGCAUUGUAAAUGCAGUCUUAUUGUUACGAAAAAACUUGGUUAUUGCUGGAAUCAUGAAUGGUCUGAAUAGGAUUUGAGUUUGUUUACUUGUGAAACUUACCUGCACCACCAUUUACAGAUCCAGUGGGUGCAGAUCAUCAUACAGAUGGUUCAAGUGUGGAUCCACCUAAUAUUCAAGAUUUUCUGUCCUGGGACACUUGGCUAACCAUCAAGAAAGAACACACUCCAGUGGGCAUCCUUUAUCCAUCCAGACCCUCAUACAGAUGGUUGGAGUUUUGAUUAAUCUAAAGUACCAUGCAAGAGCAUUCAUUUUCCCUCUUGAGACCAUGGUGUGACCUGCAAGGUCGAAUGGAGACUGUAAACGAGACAAUCUUGGAGUCACCUGCAUUCACUGGUCCAGUUGUUAGUCCAAUUACAGAUGGAGAUUAUAGAAGAGGAUGAUGUCUUUUCUCCAACAUCUUUCUAGACUGAUAAAAGAUCUAGACAGGCUUGAACAAAAGUUAACAGAGGGGCUUAUAUAGAGAAUGGUGAGCAGCUACACAUAAAAGAAGAACAUGGAGAAUCUACCCAGAGGUGUUAACCAGCAAUGCAGCUAUACAACUAAAUUGAUGCAGGCGGAAACA